rnacentral:snoRNA from 1 species
UGUUGGUAGGGACAUCUGAGGGGCUGAUGAGUGCCAACACUGCUGAGCUGGGCGC